AAAAAUCAUGUUAAACACUAUUAUUGCACACAGAGUGAGUCAAUGCAACUUAUGUGAUUUGAUAAGAGAAUUGUUAAUCCUGAAAUUAUUUAGGCUUGCCAUAAAAAGGGUUUGAAUACUUAUUGACUCAAGACAUUUCAGCUUUGAAUUUUUAAUGAAUUAGCCAACAUUUCUACAAACAUAAUUCCACUUUGACAUGAUGGGAUAUUGUGUGUAGGCCAGAGACAACAUUUCAAUUUAAUCCAUUUUAAAUUCAAGCUGUAAAACAACAAAAUGUGUAAAAAGUCAAGGGGUGUGAAUACUUUCGAAAGGCACUAUAGCUAUUCCAUUAUAUUGUACACCCCUUUAACAGCCUUUCCUAACAGUUAAUAUCACAAUUGUAACCAAAUGUUUGCCAUAGUUUACCAUUGUACUGUAAACCAUGAAUGAGAGAGGGCUACUGUAUGUAUGUUGCAAAUAAAACAUAGAAUAAACUGAAAUAUAUGAAAGGUGGAAAUACUGUAUCAUUAGCCAGUAGGUAACAGAUAUUCUAUAAUUACGAUAAAAGUUUAUCGGCACACGACUAGAGAAGCCAUGCAGCUUACCUGGGCUCUGGGAUGCUUUUAGUCCAGAUUUUCUUGCCUGGCAAAUGCCCUGAUACAGCAGUAGAACUAUCCCUAGAGUAAGUCUGUGAUUGUUUGAUGUGAGCAUCGCUCCCUCAACCUGCCAUACACAUUUAGUCCUGUGAGCAUCCACCUGCUGCCCCCACCACUGAUACCAAUUUAAGACAUUGGCAAAGGCAGUGAUAUCAGUGGCAUAGAACAAAAUGGCCCCGCCACUUCUGUGUGUGCCUAGCUACCAGAUGAAUCCUGGAGAUUUCUGUGAAAUUCUGGUAAAAAUAGUGCCAGCCUGCUCAGUGCCAUCCCCGCCCACUCUGCAUGUUACAUGGAGUGGCACUGGUUGGGAGGGAGGACAGUCAGUAUGGUGGGGGUUUGGGAACCUGUGAACAGUUGGGAGUUAUUGAUGUGGAAAAUUGGUCAGGGAGCAUGCGUCACUUGUGUCCACAUGGAAAUAGACAAUGAGUUUGUGAUAACAAAUGGCUCCAUUCUGACAACCAAUGACCCUCUCUGUCUGUGUCAAAAACCUACAACUAUAGCUUACGCCAACUAAGAAUCAAGGCUCUCGAAGGAGACAUUUUGUUUCUGUUAAAACUCUGGUAAGAGCUAACUGGAUCUUAUACUUCAGCCAAAUACAUUCAUACCCAGUUUGUGUGUGUAUAGAGAGGUACACCGUGUGUCAAGGUUGGCUAGGGAUCCAGAGUGUUCUGUGAUAUCCAGACGGACACGGCUGUAAAACAGAGCAUUGCAGGAAAAAGCUAUUUCCUGGAACCCUGGCUUUGCGCUGGCCGAGCUAUUAUCAGCAGUCUUUCUGGCACAGGCAGGAGGGGACUAGUGCCUGCUAUAACAACAAGACCGCCACCAAAAAGAAUAUGAAGUGCCAGUACUCACAUAUCCCAUGUCCAGACACUCAAACUUGUUGGCUGAGCUGAGGAAGGCUGAACGAACCUUGGAGAGGGCAUCAGUGAGGGUCAGCGGUCAACCACACUGGAGGGCUGGUGAAUAAUUAACUGUCCAGAGACAGUAAUGCUGCCGUCCAGUGGCCCCCAGGCUGUAGCUUCCUGCUCCACUAGCUGUGAUGGACUGCUCCCAGAAAACACUUCAGAGGUUAUCUACACACAUUUUUCAUGUAACCACGAACUACAGCCGUGGAACGAUGAGUAUUGUUUGAAGCAGUCUUCACUCUGUUUGCCUUGCCAUUCUUGUUUUAACUGUGUACUGUAAAGUCUCUCUCAUGGGGCCAAAUGGAAACUGGCCUACACCAGGGUUCUGGCAUAGAAUGGCUACAAUACUUUCUUAGUGGUAAAUUAGGUUUGUUAACCCUGUACAAUGUAAGGCACUUUGAGACCUUGGGGAAAUUGCUAACUUCAAUCCAUGCCUAACAGAUUGCCUAUCCAUUGUCUUUAUGGGAUCAACGCAACCGUUUCAAAGCAAAGUAAUGAAGUACCUGUGAGCCACUCGCAACAGCAUUUUCUUCCUCUCUUUCCUGACAGAUGAGAGCAGAGAAACAGUUAACCACAAGAAAGAUGUGGCUCAGUUGGUAGAGCAGGAAUUUGCAAAGCCAGGGUGUGGGCUUGAUUCCCACAGGGAACCAGUGCGAACAAAUAUGAAAAUGUAUACACUCACUACUGUGACCUGAAAAGAGUCCUUUAGUGAAGUUUUACCUGUAUACUGUUGAAGAGGUCACAGAUUGCGUUCUCCUCUUCCUCGAUAUUGGAGCACACCUCCCCUAUCAUGGCCCUCAGCAUGAUAAUAGCUUCACGGGCCAAUGUCUGCAGCGCCUUCACUGCCUACAGAGGAAGCAAGGCUCACACAUGGACAUGGUAGAUAUGCUCAUUCACCUGGAACUAACCUGUAGCUAAACCAAACACACAUGAUCAUAUGCUUUAUCUCAAACCCAAGACCCAGCCUGUAGUUUUCAAAAACAACAUAAGGAUCCUAUAUUAUGGCAUGUAAAAUACAGAAUGGAAACAAUUCAGAGUUACUACAUAGGCCAUGGAGUUGUGAGGACUAUACAGAUAAAACAUGGAUUUUCAGAGGGGGUGACUGCGAACCAUCGAUGUUAUAACACACAAUGUAUGAAGAGAAUAAAAGUAAAUCCACUCACCAGCACUGCCUGCUCUAGUAUCUCACAUCCUUCCCAGCUAGAACAUUUGGUUCCUUGGAAGUUGUGGGAACAAAAGUUUUUGGUUUCCCAUUGUUUCUGGGAACAAAGUCAUAAGUUUCCUGACUGGUAAAAUGGAAUGUUUUUUAAACAUUCUGAGAACGGAAGUGAACAUUUCGCCUGUUCUAUUUUUAGGUUGCAUAGAAGUUCUGAGAACGUUUUACUCGGGUUCGUUCUGGAAUGUUUUAUUUACUCUGGUUCCUUCUGGGAGGUUUAAUUAACGCUAUGAGAAUGGAAAUUAUAGGUUAUUGAUUUUUUUUUUUUAUAACGUCCUUAAAACUUUUACUGAAUGUUUCAAUAAGACUUUAAUAACACUGCUAUCUUAUUUUGGGUAAACCUUUUUUUUUACUCCAAGCACAGAUAGGACACAUGGAAAUUAAUUUCCUUCGGCAUUAAUCAUGCAAACACAUUUAUUCUUUAUUGUGACACUGCAUCAGUGAGAUUCAAACCUAUAAUCUUCUAUUCUCUAUCCAUGGAAUUAGUCCAUUGCACCACCAAGAUGGAGCUAGCAUACCAUGUUUGUUUUUACGCAUACAAAGCUGUUCAUUUUAGUCUAUUCAAACAGACCCCAUUUCAAAGGAAACAAGGACUCCUUAACCUCAGGUGUGGCCAAUUAGUGGGCGUUGCCAACACACCUGAACACACUGAACAAGAUAGAGGAUAGAGAGUUUUGUUGAUGCUGAGAACAGAAUGUUUAAGGUUUUUAAUAACAUUCUUAGAACAUUCUCUGAAUGUUACUAAAGUUUUCUUGUGGUUUUAUGGAAAGUUUACUUAACGUUCUUGGCACAAUUUGAGAACAUGACUUUGAAUACAACCAUGAGGAAACCUGUAGGAAACGUUACGCUGAAGUACUGAAAAUCCCACAGAAGAACUGAAGUACUGAAAUUCCCACAGAAGAACGUUGUUUCUUAACGUUCUUGGAACAAUUUGAGAACAUUAUUUUAAAUAGAACCAUGAGGAAAACUGUAGGAAAUGUUAUGCUGAAGUACUAAAAUUCCCACAGAAGAACGUUGUUUCUUAAUGUUCUCUGAACUAUUUCAGAACAUUCCCAAUGCCAAACCAAUUGGAGAAUGUUUGAAAUGAAACGUAACCAUGUUUGAACUUUUAGGAAACGUUCUGUAUAAAGUAAUGAAAUACCAAGCAAAUUAUGUUUCUUUGUCAAGUUCCUUAAAUGUGCUGAGAAUGUUCCAAAAGCCAAGCAACUAUCUUGCACCAUUCCCAGAAUGUUAUGGGAAGGUUGUAUGCAAAACAACCAUAGGAUAACCACACCCUCACCAAGCUCUAUGAAACAUAUGGUUCUCAGAAAGUGCUAGCUGGGUUGCAUGUAUUCUGUAUUCUGCAAUGUUAAUGCAGUAUGUCAGGCUCUCCCUGUGAAAUUUCAAAUUGAAUCAAAUUUUAUUUGUCACAUGCUUCAUAUUCAACAUGUGUAGACUAACAGUGAAAUGCUUACUUACGGACCCUCCCAACAAUGCAGAGAGAAAGAAAAUAGAGAAAUAAUAGAAAAGUAAAACACAUAAUAAAAGUAAUAAUAAAUACACAAUGAGUAAAAAUAACUUGGCUAUACAUGGUACCAGAACCGAAUCUAAGUGCAGUAAUUUGGCAGAAACAUAAAUGAGCUUUACUAACAGUGUUCCUCCUGUGUGAAUCUUGUGUUGCUGUAGUAGGACCUUCACUCACACUUGUAUGUCUCUGAAACACUGUCUCUGAAACACACUUGUGGAGAUAAACACCAAGUUAAACCAUCACAUCACUAUUCCUUUAAUACAUAUUUCAACGCAAUGAAUAGUAUUUGCUAAAUAUUCAAUAAAUAAAUAAUUGUUCUUAUGUAAGGUAUUUUCCCUGGAAAAUAAUGCA
rnacentral:lncRNA from 1 species